rnacentral:rRNA from 1 species
CAGCCGCCACGGUAAUACGUAGGGUGCAAGCGUUAAUCGGAAUUACUGGGCGUAAAGCGUGCGCAGGCGGUUUGUUAAGACAGAUGUGAAAUCCCCGGGCUUAACCUGGGAACUGCAUUUGAAACUGGCAGGCUAGAGUCUUGUAGAGGGGGGUAGAAUUCCAGGUGUAGCGGUGAAAUGCGUAGAGAUCGGGAGGAACAUCAGUGGCGAAGGCGGCCAUCUGGGACAACACUGACGCUGAGGCACGAAAGCGUGGGGAGCAAACAGGAUUAGAUACCCCGGUAGUCCCUGUCUCUUAUAA